UGGGAGUGUGUGGGUGUGAUAGGGGAGGGAGCUUGGAGGCAAGCAGUGCAAUGCCAGUGGCACAGUGACCCAGCACAGGGUAGGAAGCAAAUAAAUCCACCCUCCCCCAUAAUAACGCCCAGAGCUAAGCCAGAGCUCGCGGCCAUCACCACCAAUCCGUCCACGCCGAGCUCAACCGCCGCCGCUGCCGACGACGUCGCCGGCGAGGUCCGUGUCCUGGGCGUGUGUGCGUUCGCCGUCGUGCCAAUGGCGACGGCGUGGGUGCGGUCGCUGAGCUGCAGGUCGUACGGCGUGGCCGACGCCGUCGUGGCGCCGUCGCCGAGCAAGAAGCUGCAGUCGCCGCCGGUGUCGUGCGCGGCGGCGAAGGAUGACGUGAGGGACUCGGUGGCGUUCGUGCGGCACAGCGCCAAGAAGCCUCGCCGGGAGGAGGAGCGGCCGCGCGGGCGCAGGCCGAGGCCGAAGAAGAAGAAGCCGAAGCAGGUGUUGGCGGCGUCGGUGGCGUUCAUGCCGUCGUCGCCCGCCGCAUCCUCCGCGGCGCACGCCGGUCAGCUCGGCGUUCCUGACGAUGGCGGAGCUCCCCGAGGGGCACUCGUCGCGGCGGGUGGUGGAGCUCAUCUUCUCGUCGGGGUGGGGCGCCGCCGCCGCCGCCGCCGCCCCGCCGGGGCCGACGGUGGAGGCGAUGUUCCGCGUCCACAGCGCGGCGCGGGCGGUGGCGCGGUUCGAGGAGGCCAGGGCGGCGGCGCGCGCUCACGGCGCCGCCGCGCGGUGCGGCGCCGACGGCAACGAGAUGAUGCGGUUCCAGUGCCGCGCGGCGGCGGGGCCCGGCGGGGUGUUCGGCGCGGGCGUCGCCACCUGCCGCCUCGGCGCCGCCGACGCCGCGGUGCGCACGUUCGCCGGGAGCGGCGCCGCGCACGCCAGCGCCGGCGCCGGCCCGGGCCGCAGGGCGAUGCUGGUGUGCCGCGUCAUCGCCGGCCGCGUCCGUUCCGCGCAGCACCAGCACGGCCAUUCCCGCCACGCCUCGGAUUACGACUCCGUCGACAUGGGCAACGGCGAGCUCGUCGUCCUCGACAGCCGCGCCGUCCUCCCAUGCUUCCUCAUCAUCUACAAGGUCUAGCCAAAUCCAUCCAUCCAUGGCCGCCAUUGCCAUCAAACACCCAUCAGUAUUUAACCACUCGUUAAUCUACUAGCACUAAUCCCUUAGCUUCUUCCUCUUAAUCUCUUUUCCCCUCCUUUCACUUUCUUGGCGAGAGAGUUGCAUCGCCAUUGCCAUUGCCAUGGCAAUGAUGCAAGAUUGCAAGUACGUAGUAACAGAGCUGUGUGUAAAACAGUAAAAGAUUGCUCAUUUCUUCUUUUUUUUUUUGUUCUGAAUGUUGAAAUGGUAUAUAGAAACGGUUUUUUGCAAUGCUUUUAUUUUUCAAACAUUUCUCUUUUUAUCCUUCUCUUGUCCUGCAUGCAUGUCUGUAAUCUGGAUGCCUUCUUUGCUUCUGCUCUGCAAUUUCAUCUUUGUGUGUCAGUGCAGCAAAAUAUAUGUUGUUUCUUUCUCUUUUUUCCUCUCUUUUUCCUUUUUUUUCCCCUCACAGGCAGAGACAGACAGAGAGGCAGAGAGAUUUGUCGCCGUAGGUUUGAAGUGUUCUUGUUACAGCAUGUGUGUUCUCUUCUCCUCUCAACCAAUGGAAACAUGUACUGGUAUGAAUGUAUGAUUGCCAAUGCCAUGGGAGGGCUUGCUUGUUUGCAUCUGCAUGCAAUUGCAGAGAAAUUUUUUUUUUGGCAGGUAGGGUAUAAAAGGAUGUUGGCAACAUCUUGAGAAGCCAGCCGCAGCAAAAGUUUCCGGUCUCGUGGCUGCUCUCUCUGGUUUUUUGGAGAGGGGGGAGAUAAGAGGAAAAUGUACUUCUUGGAUGCUAGCUUCUUGGACCCUUGCUAUUGUAUUUGUUGUCUUCCUCUUCCAACCCCUGUUUUGGCUUUGCUUGCUAUGCUACCUUAUGCUCAUGCAUUGCUGUACAAGAUGCUGACUUUAGUAUAUACUAUAUAAUAGUGAUAUAUUGUGCAUAA